UGAGUCGGCUGGGCAGUCGCGCGGGGGCAACCUCGUGAGGAAAGUCCGAGCCCCGCAGAGCAGGAUAACGGCUAACGGCCGCCGAGGGUGACCUUAGGGAAAGUGCAACAGAGAAAUACCGCCAGGCCAAGGCUUUGGAUUUUAGGCACUGCAUGCGCUGCUUUUUUAUCGCAAAACGCGCGGGCAAACAUUCUCAAAAUUCAAUGCCUAAAACCCAAAGUCUUGGCCUGGUAAGGGUGGAAAGGCGAGGUAAGAGCUCACCGGCACGCGGGGAACCGCAGUGCCCUGCAAACCCUAUCCGGCGCAACACCGACCGGGAAAAACGGGCCGCAAGGCCCCGAAGCGCUUGCUCGGCGCAACCCAUUCCCAACGGGUGGCAGGAGCAUGACAGCAAUGCCAUGCCAAGAUAAAUGAUUGCCAUCAACGACAAAACUCGGCUUAUAGGCCGGCUCACACC
rnacentral:RNase_P_RNA from 1 species